GAUGAACGCUGGCGGCGUGCCUAAUACAUGCAAGUCGGGCGAACGGACGAGAAGCUUGCUUCUCUGAUGUUAGCGGCGGACGGGUGAGUAACACGUGGAUAACCUACCUAUAAGACUGGGAUAACUUCGGGAAACCGGAGCUAAUACCGGAUAAUAUUUUGAACCGCAUGGUUCAAAAGUGAAAGACGGUCUUGCUGUCACUUAUAGAUGGAUCCGCGCUGCAUUAGCUAGUUGGUAAGGUAACGGCUUACCAAGGCAACGAUGCAUAGCCGACCUGAGAGGGUGAUCGGCCACACUGGAACUGAGACACGGUCCAGACUCCUACGGGAGGCAGCAGUAGGGAAUCUUCCGCAAUGGGCGAAAGCCUGACGGAGCAACGCCGCGUGAGUGAUGAAGGUCUUCGGAUCGUAAAACUCUGUUAUUAGGGAAGAACAUAUGUGUAAGUAACUGUGCACAUCUUGACGGUACCUAAUCAGGAAGCCACGGCUAACUACGUG
rnacentral:rRNA from 1 species